GGCCUCCACAGGUUCAGUCCAUCUGUGGGAUGUAAACUUAAUUCUUUCAGUUCUGAGGUUCUUGGUACCACCGUCGGUUCUCCCAGGGCAUCAUAAGUCAACAUCUUUGGCUGGCGUCUCUGUCGUUGAGGGUUCGUCUCAAGGAGGAGCUGUUUCCCUCUCACUGUUGACUCAACAGCGCCUCCUGGCUGGCUCGCCAUGUUUAUGUUACCCACACAGAAAAGAGAGAUUUCUGGUGUCACAUAAAGCAGUUUUUAUUUUUGUUGUCACAGCUGUAGAAACAAUAAACACAAAGGCAAAACUG